AAAGAUGAAUGUUAGGGCAACCCAUCCUUGACCGAGACAGAGAGGCCAAGACCAGGCACUCUGCAUAAAUGACCUCAUUCAGGGUGUUCGGACUCAGAGGAUGAAGAAGAUACCGGCUUGAAUCUCACUUCCAACAAGAAUUACUUUGAACCAGACCUGACCAGUUCUGAAGACAAGUGAGUCCAGGAGUUCAAAUCCUUUGUGCCAAGAUCAACUAGAAAGCCAAUAAUGGUGCAUAUGACUAGGUCCUCUCCCCAACCACACCCUACAUGAUAGUCUGGCUCCAAGACCUGGAGUGGAAACAAAGAAUUGGUUGCAUUAACAAGGCUUACCCUCAACUUGUCCAGAAGGGAUCUGAAGCUGCACUUCUGAGACUCAAACAAGCACGUGAUCUGUCUGCAAAGCAAGUACCUGGCCUUCCUCAGAAUCAUCACCAUUUUCUAAUGCUGGCUUCUCCAACUCAAAGCCCAUGCAGAGCUCUCAUGAUUAUUCUGU
ensembl:antisense Cdrt4os2 CMT1A duplicated region transcript 4, opposite strand 2